AUGUUCUUGGUGGCGGUACAUGCGAUCAUCCACAUCACAUCUGUGGUUGUUGCCGUUAUUAUGAGCAGAUGGAACCAUUAGGGCCCAUCUUGCUCACAACAUAUAUUGUUUUGACAACUGGUGGCGACGUGAAAAAUCUCCCAAAGAUCCUAGACUUGGAAGGCAGAACUUGAGAUUAGCUUUUUCUAAUAGUAUCGCUUGGAAUGCUUGAUUUUUUUGUGUGUAAGAAUUGAAUAUCAGUGUCGAAGAGACAGAGUGGUGCAGUAGGAUACGGGAAGUCGAUCCUUAGAAUCUCGUUCCAUGAGAUUUCUCUUUUACUUUUCGGAUGAAUAUGUUUGGCCAUCUGAAUUUCCUCUUGAUUGCGCUCAUCCAUUUAGUCUUUAGUUGCACGGUUGAUCUCUAAUAUAGUACAUGUUUGCUCACUUCUCUCUGGAUAAAAAUUUAAGAUUUGGUAAAUGCUUGAUCUGAGAAUAAUAAAGCAUAGAAAUUGCUUAUUUUGUUAAGUCAGAACAAAAGAAGUUUAUUGUUCUGUUGAGUUUGCUUCUGCCAUUUUGAGGCGCUACCACUAAUACCAUGCUUCUCAAGAUUGUCAAUCGAGUCACUGAACUUUUCCAGUUAAUCCUAAGCCUUUUUUGAACAAAGCUUAAGUGGGGCAUGGAAUACAAAGGUAAUUCCAGCAAUCUUCUCAACUUUUCUUAGUGGAAACUUUACCACUGUGUAUUUCCUGCGAUAAAUAUAUGAUGGGCUUCUUUGGCUGCAAUCACGGAGGUAAGCGUGUCUUUUGUUAACUAGCCUAGUAUGAUUUCGAUUAUAUGUUUUGUAGGUUUCCUUGUCUCAGUGGAUUCCUACAUGAAUUUGCAGCUUGCCAACACAGAAGAAUACAUAGACGGACAAUUCACUGGAAGUCUGGGAGAGAUUCUGAUCAGGCAAUUACUCAAUCUUCGCUACAAACUGAGGCCAAACAAUUGGACAGCGGAAUCUGUGACAUGAUGAAAGGUUUCUUACACUAAAAGGCGCCUUGAUAAAAUUCGCAAUUCCGAUCUAUUUUCUCCAUCAACUGUAACUGUAACUGUAAUGUCCAUACUCUGUCGAGUACUUGA